ACCGACUUUUAGAGUUUCAGCGGGACUGGCAGCGCGAGAGAAAGAUCUGAUCGUCUUCAAGGAGCAGGCAGGUGUUCAGAGCAGCUGAAGAACGUCUCCUGUGGUCAGACAUCUGCAUCACCAAGCUCACUGGGGACCUGCCAGGCUCUUCACUGGUGACAUGGAGGAUGAUGGUCUCCAGCCCCGUCUGCAGACUUAGCUGUGACCUGGCCCAGAUCCAUGGCCUGCCAAAGCAGGAGACCCCCACAAUUCUGCACCUAAUGGGGAGAGUCUUCCUUGUUUUCCUGCCUGAAGGACAGGAAUGCUUUUGGGUUCCCAAGAAGCUGAACCCAAAAACCUCAUGCCACCUCUUUCUCCAUGAGAUGAUCCAGCCGAGCUUUAGCUUCUUCAGCACAGACAGUUGAAAUUCCUCACUGGGCUUGAUCAACAGGAGGAGGAUCUGGAGACCAGUUUGGUGCAGGAGCCUGGGGAAGAAAAGACCUUCCUGGAAAGGAAGACUCCAACCUGACUUUGAAGAAGUCCUUUUGAAGGACCAGGCUACACCUGAAAAGAAAGUACAUUGCUGCUGUGUGUGGGACUUCAUCAGACUGGAAGUUAAGAUGUGAAAGUAGGCUGUGCUUUCCCUGUAGCAUCAACCUCAGAGAAAACCCAGAAGUGGGCAAGGAGACUUGAAGCCAGUCAUCCACAAUUGAGUUUUGCCUAUUUAUAGGUGCCACAAGUUCAAUGUUUCCUCAGUUCAAAGCCAUUUUUGCUUCAGUUGUAAAUGCACUGAGUCAUCUCAGCACAUUGAUUUUAGUCGUAAUUGGAAAUAAUACUUUUGAAUCCAGAGAAACUAUAUUUUUAAAUUUGUAAUAAUUAGAAUUUAUCUAUUAUGAUUGCUGCAUUUACAAAAUUUGUACUUAUGAUUUGGUCAGUUUUUCUUUGGGGGUAUACAAGGUAUAUUUUAACUGUUAGCUUUUACUUAUAAACUGUAAAGAAUCAAAAGUGUUGGGGCAUUCCCACUGUGACACAGUAAAGAAUCAAAGUGUCCUUAAACCUUAAAUCUGACUUAAAAUCAAAAAGGAAUAUAAUUAGUUUUAUUUAUUUCAUUGAUUCUUAACAUAUUUUUAUGCUACAGUAGUUUACUUGUGUUUGUGAAUAUAUUGGUAAAUAAAACAAAGAUACUGCUUCCUCCGAAGAUUUUCUGUUGGAGAGGAUGGGGCUUAAAAUGUCAUAAGGAGAGAACUCUUGUUGGACCGGGAAGGAGAAACAUAAGGCACUGGGACAGGUUAUCGCAGCAGGAGCUCUUCCCUUUUUUAAUUUUUAAAUUUAUUUUUUUUAAUUACAUUAGAGUGUGGUUGACUUACAAUGGAGUACAGUUUCAGGUGUACAACAAAGUGAAUCAGUUAUACAUGUACAUAUAUCCAUUCUUCCUCAGAUUCUUUUCCCAGGUGGGUAAUUACAGAACAUCGAGUAGAUUUCCCUGUGCUAUACAGUAGUCCUUGUUAGUUAUUGGAGAUGUUCCUUUAAUUUGUACAUUCUUGAGAAAGCAUGUCUGGUGGUUGUUGAUUCUAUUUCAGCAGUUGCAUGAUCAAGAAGCUGUGUGAAAUACAUUUUAGAAUCAUGGAAUUUAAACUUCAGCAAAUAGGUAGUGAGUAUGCCUUCUAUUUGUUGCCACUGUGCUGGGUGCCAGAUACAAUGACCAGAGCAGACACCUUGGUAUUGUCACAGAGCUCCAGUCUGGUGGGGAUAUGGUUUGCCAAGCAUUCAACUAAAGGCAUGUUGAUACUGUGACAGGGAAAGUGCAGGACACUGGGAGCAUGUGGGAUCCCACGGAUCAGAGAAAGCUUCUGGAAGAAGCAGCUGGUAAGCUGGCAUCUCAAGGGUCUGCAGGGUUAGCCAGGUAAUUGCAUGAUGGCCAGUGGUGGACAUGUUGUGUGGAGAUCGUGUAGGGUAGCAGGGAGAUAAAGGGUUUGGAGAGGAACAAGUGUUUUGAGAUGUGGCUCUGGGUAAAGUCAUGCAUAUGGAAGUUGUAAUCUCAGAGAUGACAUUUGGAACCAUUUGGGAGAUUGAGACUCUGUGCAGAGAGGAUGAAGUGUGAUGCUAGUGUGGAAUUUUGAGGAAAACCGAAGGUCCCUAAGAUGAGAGGGAGGAGUCAGCAAAAGCAGAUGAGGAGGAGCAGAAAAUCAGGGUAUGAUGGUGACAUAGAAACCAGCUGAAGGUCCAACUUUAAAAUGGUCAAUGUGGGAACAAGUGUUUGAUGCUUCUAAAAUGUCAGCUGGGGCUGCCUGGCAGUGAACUGUGGCCUCAGUAAGAUGUAGUUUGUUAUACACCUUGCCUGAGCAGUUUCAAGAAAACAGAGAGAUGGGCACCAGAUUAUAGCAAUUGGAGAAAUGAGCUUUAUAUCAAGAAAUAAGGACUCAUAUUGCAGAGACAUUCUAGAAGUUUGGAUCUGAACAGAGUAAGAGAAUACAUACGGGUAGUUGUAAGAAAUGGUCAUAUUCCAGAUGUAGAAGAUGGAAAUUAUGUGCAUUUAAUGUUGAUCAAAACUAGCCAGUCCAAAGGAAGAUGUGGAUACAGCGGAGAGAGGAGCUGACUGAUAAAGCAUAAGCAUCUCUCUGAAGCCUUUUCUACUUUGUAGCAAGGGAAUCUCUCCCCAAAGCUACAUCUUCUGAAACUGACACUCCAUGAGGAUUUGCACCCUGGAACAGCCAUGGUGAGUCUUGGGAUUUGCAAGGGAGAAUUUCUUUUAUAAAAUGAUAUAAAGGUCUGAAUGAGAGAAUGGAGGUGGGAAUGGGGAAUGGCCAAAUGUCCAUCUCUCUUUUUAGGCAUAUCAGUUCUAUGCAAGCAUAUGUAUCAGUGUUGACCAUGCUCCAUCAUAAGUGACUAGAAGAGUUCCCAGUGCUAAACAGCAGGAUCCUAUUGCUAAUCCAUCCCAAAGGCCACCUUCUGCAUCUGUUUACCCCAAGCUCCCAGUCCCUCCCAAUCCCUCCCCUUUCCCCUUGGCAACCACAAAUCUAUUCUGCAAGUCCAUGAUUUUCUUUUCUGUGGAAAGGUUCCUUUGUGCCACAUAUUAGAUUCCAGAUAUAAGUGAUAUCAUAUGGUAUUUGUCUUUCUCACUUACCUCACUCAGGAUGAGAGUCUCUGGUUCCAUCCAUGUUGCUGCAAAUGGCAUAAUUUUGUUCUUUUUUAUGCCUGUGUAGUAUCCCAUCGUGUAUAUAUAUAUACCACAUCUUCCUAAUCCAAUCAUUUGUCGAUGGACAUUUGGGUUGUUUCCAUGUCUUGGCUAUUGUGAAUAGUGCUGCAAUGAACAUGCGGGUGCAUGUGUCUUUUUAAGGAGAGUUUUGUCUGGAUAUAUGCCCAAGAGUAGGAUUGCUGGGUUGUAUAAUAGUUCUAUGUGUAGAUUUCUAAGGUACCUCCAUACUGUUCUCCAUAGUGGUUGUACCAGCUUACAUUCCUGCCAACAGUGCAGGAUAGUUCCCUUUUCUCCAUCACCCCCUCCAGCAUUUGUUAUUUGUGGACUUAUUAAUAAUGGCCAUUCUGACUGGUGUGAGGUGGUGUCUCAUGGUAGUUUUGAUUUGCAUUUCUCUAAUAAUCAGGGAUGUUGAGCAUUGUUUCAAGUGCUUGUUGGCCAUCUGUACAUCUUCCUUGGAAAAAUGUCUAUUCAGGUCUUUUGCCCAUUUUUCAAUUGGGUUGUUGGCUUUUUUGUUGAGUUGUAUUAAGUUGUUUGCAUAUUUUAGAGAUUAGGCCCUUGUCAGUUGCAUCAUUUGAAAGUAUUUUCUCCCAUUCUGUAAGUUGUCUUUUUGUUUUCUUUUUGGUUUCCUCUACUGCGCAAAGGUUGUCAGUUUGAGUAGGUCCCAUUGGUUUAUUUUUGCUUUUAUUUCUGUUGCGUUGGGAGACUGACCUAAGAAAACAUUUGUAAGGUUGAUGUCAGUGAAUGUUUUGCCUAUGUUCUUUUCCAGGAGUUUGAUGGUGUCUUGUCUUAUAUUUAAGCCUUUCAGGCAUUUUGAGUUUAUUUUUGUACAUGAUGUGAGGGUGUGUUCCAGUUUCACUGAUUUGCAUGUAGCUGUCCAGGUUUCCCAGCAAUACUUGCUGAAAAGACUUUCUUUUUCCCAUUUUAUAUUCUUGUCUCCUUUGUCAAAGAUUAAUUGACCAUAGGUGGCUGGGUUUAUUUCUGGGUUCUCUGUUCCGUUCCAUUGGUCUGUAUGUUUGUUUUGGUACCAGUACCACACUGUCUUGAUUACUGUGGCUCUGUAAUAUUAUCUGAAGUCUGGGAGAGUUCUGCCUCCUGCUUGGUUUUUGUUCUUCAGAAUUGCUGAAUAAUUAAAAUACAAUUUUUGACUUAGGAAAAAUGGAGUUUUCCUAGUCAUGUCAGCAAGAAAUUUUGCCUGAAGUUUCCAUCAUGGUGCAGUGGUUAACGAAUCCAGCUAGGAACCAUGAGGCUGCAGGUUUGAUCCCUGGCCUUGCUCAGUGGGUUAAGGAUCUGGCGUUGCCGUGAGCUGUGGUAUAGGUUGCAGAUGCGGCUUGGAUCCCAUGUUGUUGUGGCUCUGGCGUUGGUGUGACUACAGCUUUGAUUAGACCCCUAACCUGGGAACCUCCAUAUGCCAUGGGAAGCAGCCCUAGAAAAGGCAAAAAGA
rnacentral:lncRNA from 1 species